UACGGGGGGAGCAAGCGUUGUUCGGAUUUACUGGGCGUAAAGGGCGCGUAGGCGGCCACCGCAAGUCGACUGUGAAAUCUCCGGGCUUAACCCGGAAAGGUCAGCCGAUACUGCGGGGCUAGAGUGCAGAAGGGGCACUGGAAUUCCCGGUGUAGCGGUGAAAUGCGUAGAUAUCUGGAGGAAUACCGGUGGCGAAGGCGGCAUCCUGGACCGGCAUUGACGCUGAGGAGCGAAAGCCAGGGGAGCAAACGGG
rnacentral:rRNA from 1 species